CACGUGGGUAAUCUGCCUGGAAGCCUGGGAUAACUAGCCGAAAGGUUAGCUAAUACCAGAUGAGACCACGGACUCUUCGGAGUCUGAGGGAAAAGGUGGCCUCUGUAUACAAGCUAUCACUUCCAGAUGAGCCCGCGGCCCAUCAGCUAGUUGGCGGGGGUAAUGGCCCACCAAGGCAACGACGGGUAGCUGGUCUGAGAGGACGAUCAGCCACACUGGAACUGAGACACGGUCCAGACUCCUACGGGAGGCAGCAGUGGGGAAUUUUGCGCAAUGGCGAAAGCCUGACGCAGCAACGCCGCGUGUGUGAUGAAGGUCUUCGGAUUGUAAAGCACUUUCGACCGGGACGAAACCCUCAAGCCCAAUACGCUUGAGUCUGACGGUACCGGGAGAAGAAGCACCGGCUAACUCUGUGCCAGCAGCCGCGGUAA
rnacentral:rRNA from 1 species